rnacentral:rRNA from 1 species
AGGUUAAGUUAACAAGGGCGCAUGGUGAAUGCCUUGGCACUAGGAGCCGAUGAAGGACGGGACUAACACCGAUAUGCUUCGGGGAGCUGUACGUAAGCUAUGAUCCGGAGAUUUCCGAAUGGGGCAACCCAGCAGUUUUAAUCAACUGUUACCACUAGAUGAAUUCAUAGUCUAGUUGGAGGUAAACGCUGUGAACUGAAACAUCUCAUUAGCAGCAGGAAUAUAAAGAAAUUUCGAUUCCCUAAGUAGCGGCGAGCGAACGGGGAACAGCCCAAACCAAAGUGCUUGCACUUUGGGGUUGUAGGACUGAACAUUUGAGUUACCAAAGAACUUGAUAGUCGAAGGAUUUGGGAAAAUCCGCCAUAGAUGGUGAUAGCCCAGUAGAUUAAAUCAAAUUCUCUCAGUUCAGGAUCCUGAGUACGGCGGAACACGUGAAAUUCCGUCGGAAUCCGGGAGGACCAUCUCCCAAGGCUAAAUACUACCUAGUGACCGAUAGUGAACCAGUACCGUGAGGGAAAGGUGAAAAGCACCCCGGGAGGGGAGUGAAAUAGUUCCUGAAACCAUGUGCCUACAAUAAGUCAGAGCGCGUUAAUGCGUGAUGGCGUGCCUUUUGUAGAAUGAACCGGCGAGUUAUGAUCCCGUGCAAGGUUAAGACUAAAAAGUCGGAGCCGUAGCGAAAGCGAGUCUGAAAUGGGCGUUUUGAGUACGAGGUUAUAGACCCGAAACCAGGUGACCUAUCCAUGUCCAGGUUGAAGGUGCGGUAAAACGCACUGGAGGACCGAACCCGUGUAAGUUGAAAAUUGCUGGGAUGAGGUGUGGAUAGCGGUGAAAUUCCAAACGAACUUGGAGAUAGCUGGUUCUCUCCGAAAUAGCUUUAGGGCUAGCCUCGGAAUUAGGAUCAUGGAGGUAGAGCACUAUUUGGACUAGGGGCCCAUCUUGGGUUACUGAAUUCAGAUAAACUCCGAAUGCCAUUGAUUCAUAUCCGGGAGUCAGACGAUGAGUGAUAAGAUCCACCGUCGAAAGGGGAACAGCCCAGACCAUCAGUUAAGGUCCCUAAAUGUAUGCUAAGUGGAAAAGGAUGUGGAGUUGCAUAGACAACUAGGAUGUUGGCUCAGAAGCAGCCACCAUUUAAAGAGUGCGUAAUAGCUCACUAGUCGAGUGAUCCUGCGCCGAAAAUGUACCGGGGCUAAGCAUACUACCGAAACCAUGGAUGCGACCAUUAGGUCGCGUGAUAGGAGAGCGUUCUAAGGGCGGUGAAGCAAGAUCGUGAGGACUUGUGGAGCGCUUAGAAGUGAGAAUGCCGGUAUGAGUAGCGAAAGAUAGGUGAGAAUCCUAUCCACCGAAUGACUAAGGUUUCCUGGGGAAGGCUCGUCCUCCCAGGGUUAGUCGGGACCUAAGUCGAGGCCGAGAGGCGUAGACGAUGGAUAACAGGUUGAGAUUCCUGUACUAGUUAAGUGCGUUUGAGCAAUGGAGGGACGCAGGAGGCUAAGAUGUGCAUUCUGUUGGAUUAGAAUGUCCAAGCAGUAAGUCUUGUGAAGAGUCAAAUGCUUUUCACUUUAAGGACAAGCUGUGAUGGGGAGCGAAAUUUAGUAGCGAAGCGUCUGAUGUCACACUGCCGAGAAAAGCUUCUAGUGAGUACUUAACUACCCGUACCGCAAACCGACACAGGUAGUCGAGGAGAGAAUCCUAAGGUGAGCGAGUGAACUCUCGUUAAGGAACUCGGCAAAAUGACCCCGUAACUUCGGGAGAAGGGGUGCUGAUCGCAAGAUCAGCCGCAGUGAAUAGGCCCAGGCGACUGUUUAUCAAAAACACAGGUCUCUGCAAAAUCGUAAGAUGACGUAUAGGGGCUGACGCCUGCCCGGUGCUGGAAGGUUAAAAGGAUGGGUUAGCUUCGGCGAAGCUCAGAAUUGAAGCCCCAGUAAACGGCGGCCGUAACUAUAACGGUCCUAAGGUAGCGAAAUUCCUUGUCGGGUAAGUUCCGACCCGCACGAAAGGCGUAACGAUCUGGGCACUGUCUCAACGAGAGACUCGGUGAAAUUAUAUUGUCCGUGAAGAUGCGGACUACCCGCGACAGGACGGAAAGACCCCAUGGAGCUUUACUGUAGCUUGAUAUUGAGUGUUUGUACAGCUUGUACAGGAUAGGUAGGAGCCAUAGAAACCGGAACGCUAGUUUCGGUGGAGGCGUUGGUGGGAUACUACCCUCGCUGUAUGACCACUCUAACCCGCACCACUAAUCGUGGUGGGAGACAGUGUCAGGUGGGCAGUUUGACUGGGGCGGUCGCCUCCUAAAAAGUAACGGAGGCGCCCAAAGGUUCCCUCAGAAUGGUUGGAAAUCAUUCGCAGAGUGUAAAGGCACAAGGGAGCUUGACUGCGAGACAGACAGGUCGAGCAGGGACGAAAGUCGGGCUUAGUGAUCCGGUGGUACCGUAUGGAAGGGCCAUCGCUCAACGGAUAAAAGCUACCCUGGGGAUAACAGGCUUAUCUCCCCCAAGAGUCCACAUCGACGGGGAGGUUUGGCACCUCGAUGUCGGCUCAUCGCAUCCUGGGGCUGUAGUCGGUCCCAAGGGUUGGGCUGUUCGCCCAUUAAAGCGGUACGCGAGCUGGGUUCAGAACGUCGUGAGACAGUUCGGUCCCUAUCCGUCGCGGGCGUAGGAAAUUUGAGAGGACCUGUCCUUAGUACGAGAGGACCGGGAUGGACAUACCUCUGGUGUACCAGUUGUGCCGCCAGGCGCAUCGCUGGGUAGCUACGUAUGGAUGUGAUAAACGCUGAAAGCAUCUAAGUGUGAAACACACCUCGAGAUGAGAUUUCCCAUUCCUUUAUGGAAGUAAGACCCCUGAAAGAUGAUCAGGUAGAUAGGUUAGAAGUGGCAGUGCGGUGACGCAUGAAGCGGACUAAUACUAAUCGGUCGAGGACUUAACCAAG